GAAUCUUAUAUUUUUUAAUAAAUUAAAGUAAUUAAGGUUUAGCGACAGAAUUGGUGACGAAAUAAAUCCCUCACUAACAAUCCGUCAUAAAAUUCCCUCACAAAACCUAACAAGUAAUUGUUAGUGAGGGAUUUGGAGAACAAAAUUCUCUUUAAAUAUUCCGUCACAAAUUGCUCUAUUAAUUUUCAAGUAUUUCAAAGUUGUUUCUUAAUCUUAAAUCUUAAUAUAAAAAACGCACCACUCAUCGGUGACGAAACCACUCGUAACGGUAGCGCUUCUCUCUGCUCGCCGAGUUUACCUCAACAACAAUAAUUAUUCCUUCAACUCAAUCGAGAUUUUCGCUUCCUUCAUUUCACAAUCAACGCUGGAUAAUCUCUGAUUAGGCUUUUUCCGUUCUUGUAAUUUUCCCCAAUUUGGUUUGAAUUUUUAGUAUUCACGUGUUUCGUGUUCCGAUUCAUGCGCUUUUGGAUACAAAUUCAUUGUUAUAUAGCUUGAUUCGCGCUUCAUUCAAUUUAAUCGGAUUUUUCUUCAUUGCAACAAUCAAUCAUCAUUACUCAGGUUGAAGAAGUUGUGAAGAAGAUGGAAAUUGAGUUUGGAAGUGGAUGGAUAGCUCAUCAGCACUGUAAGGACGGUAAGGCUCCAGAUUGAUAUCAAUUCAUCCCUAUAUUUCUCUGAGAACUAUUGGAUGUACAUGUUGGUGUGAUCAGAAAUCUGGUCCACUCCUCCCCCAAUAUAAAGAAAGAAGUUAUUCUUGCUGGAGCCUUGCAACCUGUUAUUGGAUUACUUAGCUCCUGUUACUCAAAAAGUCAGAGAGAAGCAGCAUUGUUACUUGGACGGUUUGCAGUGACCGAUUCAGACUGCAAGGUUCACAUUGUACAAAGAGGUGUUGUAUGACCUUUGAUAGAUAUGCUUCAGUCUCCCGAUGUUCAAGUAUGCCUUUGACUUUUAUAUUAUUCUUUACUUUCAACAUGCAUAUCAGCUAAUGAAAAUUAAUGAAGGGAAGCUAAUAUGUUGGGGUUCGAUAAUGGAUUAAGAGCCUAAAAGAUGGAGGUUUCUAGGAAUAAAUUGAGACAAAGCUCAAGGAACCAGCAUUGUAAAAAGUUCAAUUUUUAUGGUUUGAGUUGAAUGUGUAAGGUUGUGGGAGCAUUCCUUGUAUAGUUGUUGUAAGAGUUCAAGUUUUAUUAUCCUUCAAGUCUUCAACUAUUGUAUGUUCACUAUUUAGAUUUGUGAGAUAUUUUUGUUUUGAGAAUUUGGAUGUAAAUGUUUCAAGAACAUAGUAUAUGUACUAAAACCACUUAUGGUGUAUAUGAAUCAAAUUUGUGUAUUUUGUUGAUUAUCAAAAAAAAAAA